CUGCUGAGUCCACACCACCUCAUGUGACCUGCUGGUCAGCUGGAGAUGCCACAGGAACAUGACUCAUCGAGGGGUAAGGACAAGAAAUCGGGCACACGGAAGAAACUGCCAGAGGAGGCCGGUAGCUCCCAGGCGCCUGCCUGGUGUGGCCAGUCCCUGCAGGGCCCCUAGGAGCUGGCAGCGCGACAGGAUAAAUCAGGCCAGCCAUCGCACCUUACAUGGCCGUCCCCAAGGCUGCCCGGAAUCCCUGGGAUUACGCAGACUUGCGGAAGAUUUGGAGCAAGUGCACAAUCACCUGCCGCCCCCACAAGUGUGCCCGGGCUUCUGCAACCCCCGUCUUGUGACCGAGGAAUUUUUAAAUGGAAGCUCUGAGCUCACGGAGAAGAAAAUGUCUCCCUGA
rnacentral:lncRNA from 1 species